rnacentral:rRNA from 1 species
AGUGAACGCUGGCGGUAGGCCUAACACAUGCAAGUCGAACGGCAGCACAGGAGAGCUUGCUCUCUGGGUGGCGAGUGGCGGACGGGUGAGGAAUACAUCGGAAUCUACUUUUUCGUGGGGGAUAACGUAGGGAAACUUACGCUAAUACCGCAUACGACCUACGGGGGAAAGCAGGGGACCUUCGGGCCUUGCGCGAUUGAAUGAGCCGAUGUCGGAUUAGCUAGUUUGCGGGGUAAAGGCCCACCAAGGCGACGAACCGUAGCUGGUCUGGGAGGAUGAUCAGCCACACUGGAACUGAGACACGGUCCAGACUCCUACGGGAGGCAGCAGUGGGGAAUAUUGGACAAUGGGCGCAAGCCUGAUCCAGCCAUACCGCGUGGGUGAAGAAGGCCUUCGGGUUGUAAAGCCCUUUUGUUGGGAAAGAAAUCCAGCUGGCUAAUACCCGGUUGGGAUGACGGUACCCAAAGAAUAAGCACCGGCUAACUUCGUGCCAGCCGCCGCCGUAACAC